UAUGUACUCCCUCCGUUCCGAAUUACUUGUCUUGGAUCUGUCUAGAUACGGAUGUAUCUAGACUCAUUUUAGUGUUAGAUAUUUUCGUAUCUAGACAAAUCUAAGACAAGUAAUUCGAAACGGAAGGAGUAUGUA
rfam:Triticum urartu cultivar G1812 contig115747, whole genome shotgun sequence.